rnacentral:rRNA from 1 species
UACGAAGGGGGCUAGCGUUGCUCGGAUUUACUGGGCGUAAAGGGCGCGUAGGCGGUCAGCACAAGUCAGUUGUGAAAUCUCCGGGCUUAACUCGGAAAGGUCAACUGAUACUGUGCGACUAGAGUGCAGAAGGGGCAACUGGAAUUCUCGGUGUAGCGGUGAAAUGCGUAGACAUCGAGAGGAACACCUGCGGCGAAGGCGGGUUGCUGGGCUGACACUGACGCUGAUGCGCGAAAGCCAGGGGAGCGAACGGG